rnacentral:rRNA from 1 species
UACGUAGGGCGCAAGCGUUGUCCGGAAUUAUUGGGCGUAAAGAGCUCGUAGGCGGCUUGUCACGUCGGGUGUGAAAGCCCGGGGCUUAACCCCGGGUCUGCAUUCGAUACGGGCUGGCUAGAGUGUGGUAGGGGAGACUGGAAUUCCUGGUGUAGCGGUGAAAUGCGUAGAUAUCUGGAGGAACACCGGUGGCGAAGGCGCCCACCUGGCCUGCUACUGACGCUGAGGCGCGAAAGCAUGGGGAGCGAACGGG